UGAGUUCCUGAGCCAAUGUGGGCUCCAC
rnacentral:sRNA from 1 species